rnacentral:rRNA from 1 species
ACGGAAGGCAGCAGUAGGGAAUAUUGCACAAUGGGGGGAACCCUGAUGCAGCAACGCCACGUGUGGGAAGAAGCAUUUCGGUGUGUAAACCACUGUCGUGAAGGAAUAAGGCUUAUUUUCGGAUAAGUUGACUGUACUUUGAAAGGAAGCACCGGCAAACUUCGUGCCAGCAGCCGCGGUAAUACGAGGGGUGCAAGCGUUGUUCGGAAUCACUGGGCGUAAAGGGAGCGCAGGCGGAGAUGCAAGCAGUCUGUACAAUACCGGGGCCCAACCCCGGACCGGCAGAUUGGACUGUUUCUCUUGGAUAGCUCAGGGGCUGGCGGAAUUCCUGGUGUAGCGGUGGAAUGCGUAGAGAUCAGGAAGAACACCGAUGGCGAAGGCAGCCAGCUGGGGGCUUAUCGACACUCAUGCUCGAAAGUGCGGGUAGCAAACAGGAUUAGAUACCCUGGUA